GACGAACGCUGGCGGCAUGCCUAAUACAUGCAAGUCGAACGCUUUGAUUCUACCGGGUGCUUGCACCCACCAGAAUCAAAGAGUGGCGGACGGGUGAGUAACACGUGGGUAACCUGCCCAUAAGUGGGGGAUAACAUUCGGAAACGGAUGCUAAUACCGCAUAACUCCAACCACCUCCUGGUGGAUGGAUAAAAGACGGUUUCGGCUGUCGCUUAUGGAUGGACCCGCGGCGUAUUAGCUAGUUGGUGAGGUAAUGGCUCAUCAAGGCAAUGAUACGUAGCCGACCUGAGAGGGUGAUCGGCCACACUGGGACUGAGACACGGCCCAGACUCCUACGGGAGGCAGCAGUAGGGAAUCUUCCGCAAUGGACGAAAGUCUGACGGAGCAAUGCCGCGUGAGUGAAGAAGGUUUUCGGAUCGUAAAACUCUGUUGUUAGAGAAGAACAAGGAUGAGCGUAACUACUCAUCCCCUGACGGUAUCUAACCAGAAAGCCAUGGCUAACUACGUGCCAGCCGCCGC
rnacentral:rRNA from 1 species